GAUGAACGCUGGCGGCGUGCCUAAUACAUGCAAGUCGAGCGAACGGACGAGAAGCUUGCUUUUCUGAUGUUAGCGGCGGACGGGUGAGUAACACGUGGAUAACCUACCUAUAAGACUGGGAUAACUUCGGGAAACCGGAGCUAAUACCGGAUAAUAUUUUGAACCGCAUGGUUCAAUAGUGAAAGACGGUCUUGCUGUCACUUAUAGAUGGAUCCGCGCUGCAUUAGCUAGUUGGUAAGGUAACGGCUUACCAAGGCAACGAUGCGUAGCCGACCUGAGAGGGUGAUCGGCCACACUGGAACUGAGACACGGUCCAGACUCCUACGGGAGGCAGCAGUAGGGAAUCUUCCGCAAUGGGCGAAAGCCUGACGGAGCAACGCCGCGUGAGUGAUGAAGGUCUUCGGAUCGUAAAACUCUGUUAUUAGGGAAGAACAAAUGUGUAAGUAACUGUGCACAUCUUGACGGUACCUAAUCAGAAAGCCACGGCUAACUACGUG
rnacentral:rRNA from 1 species